rnacentral:rRNA from 1 species
GUAUGAUGGGCACACGAGGGCUUUACUGUCUCUUACUUCCAAUCCGUGAAAUUGACCUUCCCGUGAAGAGGCGGGAAUACAACAAUAAGACGAGAAGACCCUAUGGAGCUUUAAUUAACCGACCCAAAGAGACUCUACUAAUUAACCGACAGGAACAACAAAUCUCUACAUGGGCCGACAAUUUAGGUUGGGGUGACCUCGGAGAAUAAAGCAACCUCCGAGUGAUUUAAAUCUAGACUAACCAGUCGAAAGUAUUACAUCACUUAUUGAUCCAAAAACUUGAUCAACGGAACAAGUUACCCUAGGGAUAACAGCGCAAUCCUAUUUUACAGUCCAUAUCGACAAUAAGGUUUACGACCUCGAUG